GGUGUCCAACGUUGAACUGGACUAAACGAGCUCAAAUUUUACUUUAUGGGCAUGUUGCACAUCUGGUUUAGCAAGGUAUUUUAGUCUCUGAUUCUCUGGGCUAUUCCUUAGGCCUGUCAAAGUAUUGCAGGUAACAUAACCCAGAUCUCAACCUAAAUUUUGUCCUUAAACCAUAUUACAAAUGCCCUUUUAAGAGCUUUAUCUGAGAGGUUAAGCAAAGAAUCUGACAAUUUUUCAGAGUAAUACUAGUAGCCUGUGACUGAACCCCAUUACCAAAGUAAGAGGAGCUUUUCAUAUGUUGUCCCAUCUUGAGUCAAUCAGAACCUUUCGAUGAGUGUUGCCUUGAAAUCUUCCCAAUCACUGAAUGUUCCUCAAGCCUUUUCCCAUUGUAACCAUGUCAAUGUUAGUCCUUCAAUGCAAACUUCAGCCUUGUCUACCCCUUUGACUCGAUUGAUAGAGAAAUAUUUCUCAGCUCGCAAGAUCCAGCCAACAAGAUCAUCUCUAUUGAACAUUAGUAUCUCAAUCCGUCAUGAGUAUAUAUCAUUUCCUCAAGUUCCCCUAUUUCCGACUGCGUCUCCUUCUUUUAGGUUGUUGAGCUAAUUCUGGGGUGAAUUUUGUGUACUGGCUAUGGUAUAUUUGUUUCAGUUUUGUGUGUAUUUGAAAAAGGUUAUGUAAUUCGUGCUAUAGUACAAUUGUAAAGGCAGAAUACUAGUAUGGAACUAAUGCAAUUACUUUAUUGACUA